AUUCGCGGCCUAUCAGCUUGUUGGCGGGGUAACGGCCCACCAAGGCGACGACGGGUAGCCGGCCUGAGAGGGUGACCGGCCACACUGGGACUGAGACACGGCCCAGACUCCUACGGGAGGCAGCAGUUGGGAAUAUUGCACAAUGGGCGCAAGCCUGAUGCAGCGACGCCGCGUGAGGGAUGACGGCCUUCGGGUUGUAAACCUCUUUCAGCAGGGAAGAAGCGAAAGUGACGGUACCUGCAGAAGAAGCACCGGCUAACUACGUGCCAGCAGCCGCGGUAAUACGUAGGGUGCAAGCGUUGUCCGGAAUUAUUGGGCGUAAAGAGCUCGUAGGCGGUUUGUCGCGUCUGCUGUGAAAUCCCGAGGCUCAACCUCGGGCCUGCAGUGGGUACGGGCAGACUAGAGUGUGGUAGGGGAGACUGGAAUUCCUGGUGUAGCGGUGGAAUGCGCAGAUAUCAGGAGGAACACCGAUGGCGAAGGCAGGUCUCUGGGCCACUACUGACGCUGAGGAGCGAAAGCAUGGGGAGCGAACAGGAUUAGAUACCCUGGUAGUCCAUGCCGUAAACGUUGGGCACUAGGUGUGGGGCUCGUUCCACGAGUUCCGUGCCGCAGCAAACGCAUUAAGUGCCCCGCCUGGGGAGUACGGAAU
rnacentral:rRNA from 1 species